CAAUAGCGUAUAUUAAAGUUGUUGCAGUUAAAAAGCUCGUAGUUGGACCUUGGACCUGGACAGGCGGUCCGCCUCACGGCGUGUACUGUCUUGCUGGGUCUUUCCUCUUGGUGAUCUGUUGUUUCGGCAGCAGGGAGCCAGGACUUUUACUUUGAAAAAAUUAGAGUGUUCAAAGCAGGCUCGACGCCGGAAUAUAUUAGCAUGGAAUAAUAAAAUAGGACGUGCGGUUCUAUUUUGUUGGUUUUUGGAAUCGCCGUAAUGAUUAAUAGGGACAGUCGGGGGCAUUAGUACUCACAUGCUAGAGGUGAAAUUCUUGGAUUUUGUGAAGACUAACUUCUGCGAAAGCAUUUGCCAAGGAUGUUUUCAUUAA
rnacentral:rRNA from 1 species